AUGCUCCGGUCCUCGGCGAGCUCCAGCCGCACGUGGCGGAGGAAGAAGCGGUCGGCGCGGUUCCCGUUCCGGACGGACACGGCCCCCGGCGUGCCGAAGUCGGCGUCCACCACGAACGUCACAUGGUACGUCGUCGUGCUCGUCUUCCCGUGCUUGCUCUUCUUGCCGCCCCUCAGCGGGGCCUCCGGGCUCAGCAUCCCCUUCCCCGUCUCUGCACGCGCUCGGCAUCAGUCACAGUCAAACACACGAACAACUCACAUACAGUGCACUCACCGUGGUCGAUUUGGGUGCCGCUGA
rnacentral:rRNA from 1 species